GGCUGCGUAGCUCAAUGGUAGAGCGGCGGUUUCAUAAGCCGUAUGUUGGAGGUUCGAAUCCUCUCGCAGCCA
rnacentral:tRNA from 3 species